rnacentral:misc_RNA from 1 species
UGCAACAGCAGAACGACCAGCGCACUUGUGAAACAGAUCGGGGCGCCCCGCGCGCCUCAAUGCCGGGACGUGCCCGUAACGGGCGCGAUCCCGGCACAACAACAAACCCCGGCACGGGCUGUGCUAAGGAAAAUUGACGAAGAUAGAGUCCCCUGCCGCCCCAUUCUGCGGGAGCGCGCUCGGGACAAGGCUUCUUUCACAAAACACGACUCUCAGCAACGGAUAUCUCGGCUCUCGCAUCGAUGAAGAACGUAGCAAAAUGCGAUACUUGGUGUGAAUUGCAGAAUCUCGUGAACCAUCGAGUCUUUGAACGCAAGUUGCGCUCGAAGCCAUUAGGCUGAAGGCACGUCUGCCUGGGCGUCUCGCAAUGCAUCGCCCCCAACCCUGCGCGCAAAGGCUCGCGGUCGGGGGCGGACGAUGCCCUCCUGUGCACAAAGGCUCGUAGAUAGCCCAAAAGCGGAAUUCCCGACAGGGGAUCGUCCUGGCACGUGGUGGUCGAACCACCUCGACGAGUUUCUUCACUGGCGCACCCAUUGACGGGCGGAGCUACGACCCUUGCGUGCCGCCUUUUCGAUGGCGCAUCGACGGUGACCCCAG